rnacentral:rRNA from 1 species
ACGAACGCUGGCGGCGUGCCUAACACAUGCAAGUCGAACGGGACCGGGGCAAUACCGGUCAGUGGCGAACGGGCUGAGUAAUACGUGAGACAACUUGUCCUAAGGACGGGGGAUAGCCAGGCCAACGCCUGAGUAAUACCGGAUACGUGUUCGGGCAACCUGGGAGAUGAAGCAUCUUCUCGUACUAAAUGGUUGCUGCCGAUUGAAGAGCGGUACAGCGACCUAUCAGCUAGUUGGUGAGGGGUAACGGCCCACCAAGGCGACGACGGGUAGGCUGGUCUGAGAGGAUGCAGCCCCCGAGUGGGACUGAGACACGGCCCACGACAUCCUACGGGAGGCAGCAGUGGGGAAUCCUGCAGCAAUGGCGGAAAGGCCUGACUGCAGCGACGCCGCGUGGAGGACGAAGGGUCUAGGCUCGUAAACUCCUUGUUCGGGAGGAACGAAUCGGCUAUAGGAGACGGGGUACCUCAAGAAUAAGCACCGGCUAACUACGUGCCAGCAGCCGCGGUAAUACGUAGGGUGCAGAGCGUUGUCCGGAUUCACUGGGCGUAAAGAGCGCGUAGGCGGCUCCAUUAAGUCGUGAAGCUAAAUCUCCCGGCUCAACUCCGGGAACUAUUCGCGAGACUGAUGGCUGGAGUCGAUGCACGAGGUGGCAUAUGAAUUCCCGGUGUAGCGGUGAAAUGCGUUAGAUAUCGGGAAGGAAUACCAGUGGCGAAGGCGGUCCACUGGGCAUCAACUGACGCUGAGGCGCGAAAGCGUGGGUAGCAAACAGGAUUAGAUACCCUGGUAGUCCACGCCCUAAACGAUGGAUGCUAGGCGUAGGAGGGUAUCGACCCCUCCGUGUGCCGCAGCUAACGCACUAAGCAUCCCGCCUGGGGACGUACGGCCGCAAGGUUGAAACUCAAAGGAAUUGACGGGGGACCCGCACAAGCGGUGGAGCAUGUGGAUUAAUUCGAUACUAACCGAAGAACCUUACCCAGGUUUGACAUCGAGGGUAAAGACGGUGGAAAGCAGUCGCCCACCCUACAAGGUGGCCCGAAGCACAGGAUGCUGCAUGGCUGUCGUCAGCUCGUGUCCGUGAGAGUGUACUGGUUAAGUCCCGCCAACGAGCGCAACUCCCGCUCCUGUGUUACCAGCGAGUAAGUCGGGCACUCACUAGGGAGGACCGCCGGUGUUAAGCCGGAGGAAGGUGGGGAUGACGUCAAGUCAGCAUGGCUCUUACGCCUAGGGCUUCACACAUGCUACAAUGGCGCAACAAGGGCAGCAAUACCGUGAGGUGGAGCUAAUCCCUAAAAUACGGCCCCCAGUUCAGGAUUGCAGUCUGCAACUCGACUGCAUGAAGUCGGAAUCGCUAGUAAUAACGCAGGUCAGCUAUACGCGCGUUGAAUACGUUCCCGGGUCUUGUACACACCGCCCGUCAAGUCACCUGAAUCGGUCUUCACCCGAAGUCCGUGGCCUAACCGCAAGGAGGCAGCCGGCUCGAAGGUAGAGGGGGGUAAGGGGGACU